UUUUAGAGUUUGAUCCUGGCUCAGAUUGAACGCUGGCGGCAGGCCUAACACAUGCAAGUCGAACGGUAGCACAGAGAGCUUGCUCUCGGGUGACGAGUGGCGGACGGGUGAGUAAUGUCUGGGAAACUGCCUGAUGGAGGGGGAUAACUACUGGAAACGGUAGCUAAUACCGCAUAACGUCGCAAGACCAAAGAGGGGGACCUUCGGGCCUCUUGCCAUCAGAUGUGCCCAGAUGGGAUUAGCUAGUAGGUGGGGUAACGGCUCACCUAGGCGACGAUCCCUAGCUGGUCUGAGAGGAUGACCAGCCACACUGGAACUGAGACACGGUCCAGACUCCUACGGGAGGCAGCAGUGGGGAAUAUUGCACAAUGGGCGCAAGCCUGAUGCAGCCAUGCCGCGUGUAUGAAGAAGGCCUUCGGGUUGUAAAGUACUUUCAGCGGGGAGGAAGGGAGUAAGGUUAAUAACCUUAUUCAUGUC
rnacentral:rRNA from 1 species